GACGCAGGAUGCAUAUAAGCAGCUGGAUAUGAUGCAAAGUGAGGGUGUCCAACCGAAUCAAGUUACUUUUACUAUUCUAAUUGAUGGGCAUUUCCGAAGUGGCGAAAUUGAUCUUGCUGUUAGUCUCUUCAACAGAAUGAAUGCACAGGGUUGUUCUCCUGAUAAAAUUGUGUAUAACACUUUAAUAAGAGGUCUAUGCAAGAAUGGAAGGCUCAUUGAUGCUCUUUCAAUCUCAUACACAAUGCUCAAAAAAGGAUUUGCCCCUUCUAAAGCAUCAUAUGAGAAUCUUCUCACUUCUCUUUGUGCUAAUAAUUGGAGUGUUCAUGCACUGAAGAUAUGUGAAGAUAUGCUAGCCCAUAAAUAUGUCCCUUGUGGCCAUAAUCUUAAAUUGUUAAUUUGUAUGCUAGAUGAAGAAAAUAAGUCGCAUGAAGCUCGUCUUAUGAAUGAUUUGCUCCUUAACAAAAGAAGAUUUAUGGUGUACACAAGCUAGAGGUUGGUUAUGCAAUCUCUCUGAUAUUGCUGGGCUUCAUCCCCUUACUGAUGCGUGUGCAUGAGCAGGAUAUGGACUUUUCUGUGGAGCUAUACCUUCUAGCUUGAGUACCCUCAGAACUCCCUUUCGUAAACUGUUUUAAGCCACUGGCUACGUGUGUGCAUAAUCCUAUUUGAAAUGCAUUCGUAGCAGAACUCGGGAGCUAAUCUACGUGAUUAUGCUCCAUAGCCAGCCACUCUACUAAGAGGAUUCUAUAUCAUGCCUUGUUUAAAUUCUUGGUACCUUCUUGUUCCAGCUCAAAAGGAACUGUGCGGUUAUUCUUGGCAUGGCCCAUUUCAUUCCUAACUGAUUAAAGAAAAACUGGCGGACUUAUUAUCUUGAGUCAGAGAAGCUUCUUAGAUUCCAGCUCCACAAAACACAAACUUUGACUAAUCAAUUGCUUACCAUAUCUGCUUCCACGGUCCAAAGUAGUCUGAUUGGUAUCUUUGAGAGGUAUUCUAUAUCAAGAUUUAACAGUGACGGAGCCAUUUCCUUGACCUUUCCAGAUGAGCUUAUAAUCACUGCUGUUGGAACCUUUGGAAUGAGGAAAGCUGAAAAAAUCAGAGAUACUUCCCAUCUCCCAAUCAAUGAAGGUCCUCCUAAAGUUUAUGUUCCAAUUGUUAUUUUCUCUGCUUUGUGCCAAGGUGAGAGUAGUAUUCCGUGACAGAUUGUAAAGUGAGGGGGAUUGGUCUUUAAGAGGGGAGUAGUAUUACCAAUUACAUCCUCUGUACAUAAGUUUGACUUCAGUCCUUGGUAGUUGGUUGUGCUGUCUCAAUACCAAUUCCCUUUUAGGCUGCCCCAAUCCCUUCCUGUGAUUAUUCAUAUCUUUGCUUCUAUCCUAUACCUUCCACAAAAAUAGUUAAACCUGAUCAUCAAAAAAGUUAGUCUUUGAUGUUCUGAGCAAAAGUCAAAUUUUGUCUAAACAUGGAAGAAAAUUUUGUUUCGUACUGACUUUUUGGUCUUGUACUCAUUCAUUGUCAACAGCUCUCCAUAUUAGAGGCCUACCUUUUAUGCUAUAUAAGUGAGAAAGCCUUUCUAGUUCACUUUCUUUUCCUUCAAUGUCGUUUCAACUUAUCUAGUAUGAAAUUUUCUCCUGAUAUGCCCUGUAUUGAUGGAAAUACCUCUUCUCUUUUGCCUCCAGCAGAGAGGAUUGACUGCUUGUCAGCCUGUUUCUUUAAAGCUAUCUUGGUUUUUUUUUUCCAGUCAGUGUCUUAUUGGUUCCGAAAAAAGUGCUCUGGCAAUUUUUAGUACACAUUGUCAACCGUUAGUGACUAUAACUACCAGAAUAUAGAGUUUUUGCAUAAAAGUCUGCUUCAGAAGCCACUUCCAUAUAGAGCCUAGUUACAAAUCAUAAUUCUGCGGAUGCAAUUUAGUUUAUUAUGUGUAAGUCCAACGUCUUCCUUAUACAUUCUUUUGUGUGUAGCUAUUAUGCAGGUAUGAGCGCAAGUCAGUGCUCCGAUUCUUGGAGACUUUCGAAAACUAUAGGGUGGAACGCUGCUUGCAUUUAUGCCGGGAGCAUGGAAUUGUAGAUACAGCUUCUUUCUUGUUAGAAAGGGUUGGUGAAUUGGAAGUGUCAUUUUGCUUGUUAUAUCUUCGCUUGAUGAAAAAUUCAUCCUGCUUGAUACUGCCAUUGAAAGUGAACACUGUGAUGCGGCUCCCCAGCAUUUCAAAGCUAUUUUUUAAGCAAGAAAGAGGUCACUGACAUGCUAGAUAUUUUGCACACAUAUAUUGGACUGUGCCAGAGGAACAGCCACCCCUUUGGACACCAAUGAAGCAGAGUCUGUGGUUUCAAUUUCCUCCCUUUUUGAUAGUAACUGUAGAAACGAAAUCAAGUUCUUCAGUUCAACUGAAAUCGGUAGAAGAGGGUGUGUACACUUAUGAAUGAUCUUGAAGAAUCAGCUUUGUUGUUGUGAAAAGACUUGGCAAUGCAAUCAUGUGCAUGAUGCUUGUCUCACACAAAACGACUAGCAGAGAGAGGUGUAUCAAUUUGUAGCAGAUGUUUCAUGUGCAAUAAUGAGGAGGCAAGUAACACAUAUAUAUUUUGCAAUUUUUAUUUUGUAGUUUAGCUUCUUUAUUAGUGUAAAUCUUGCUUUCCUUAACUGCUCUUGUUGGCAAAAUGUGCAAUUUCUAAUUGUCAAAAAAAGUGUAAUUUCUGCACCGCAGUUCCCUACUUAAAAAAUCAAAAUAUGCCAAUUGACGAGAGAA